rnacentral:rRNA from 1 species
UGGGGAAUAUUGCGCAAUGGGGGGAACCCUGACGCAGCCACGCCGCGUGAAUGAAGAAGGCCUUCGGGUUGUAAAGUUCUUUCGGUAUUGAGGAAGGUUGAUGUGUUAAUAGUACAUCAAAUUGACGUUAAAUACAGAAGAAGCACCGGCUAACUCCGUGCCAGCAGCCGCGGUAAUACGGAGGGUGCGAGCGUUAAUCGGAAUAACUGGGCGUAAAGGGCACGCAGGCGGUUAUUUAAGUGAGGUGUGAAAGCCCCGGGCUUAACCUGGGAAUUGCAUUUCAGACUGGGUAACUAGAGUACUUUAGGGAGGGGUAGAAUUCCACGUGUAGCGGUGAAAUGCGUAGAGAUGUGGAGGAAUACCGAAGGCGANGAAGGCAGCCCCUUGGGAAUGUACUGACGCUCAUGUGCGAAAGCGUGGGGAGCAAACAGGAUUAGAUACCCUGGUAGUCCACGCUGUAAACGCUGUCGAUUUGGGGGUUGGGGUUUAACUCUGGCGCCCGUAGCUAACGUGAUAAAUCGACCGCCUGGGGAGUACGGCCGCAAGGUUA